AUUGAACGCUGGCGGCAGGCUUAACACAUGCAAGUCGAGCGAGCGGCGGACGGGUGAGUAAUGUCUGGGAAACUGCCUGAUGUAGGGGGAUAACUACUGGAAACGGUAGCUAAUACCGCAUACCAUCAGAUGUGCCAAGAUGGGAUUAGCUAGUCGGUGGGGGAAUGGCUCACCUAGGCGCAGAUACCUAGCUGGUCUGAGAGGAUGACCAGCCAAAAUGGAACUGAGACACGGUCCGGACUCCGACGGGAGGCAGAAGUGGGGAAUAUUGCACGAGGGGCGCAAGCCUGAUGCAGCCAUGCCGCGUGUGUGAAGAAGGCCUGCGGGUUGUAAAGCACUUUCAGCGAGGAGGCGUUACUCGCAGAAGAAGCACCGGCUAACUCCGUGCCAGCCGCCGCGGUAAUAC
rnacentral:rRNA from 1 species